rnacentral:rRNA from 1 species
GAUGAACGCUGGCGGCGUGCCUAACACAUGCAAGUCGAACGUGAGGGUCUAGCAAUAGACCCAAAAGUGGCGAACGGGUGAGUAACACGUAGGUGACCUGCCGCGCAGAGGGGGAUAACCACUGGAAACGGUGGCUAAUACCGCAUAUGACUGGCGAGAUGGGAAUCUGGCUGGUUAAAACUUUGGUGCUGCGCGAGGGGCCUGCGUCCGAUUAGUUAGUUGGUGGGGUAAGAGCUCACCAAGGCGAUGAUCGGUAGCUGGUCUGAGAGGAUGAUCAGCCACACGGGAACUGAGACACGGUCCCGACUCCUACGGGGGGCAGCAGUGAGGAAUAUUGCACAAUGGACGCAAGUCUGAUGCAGCAACGCCGCGUGGAGGAUGACGGUCUUUGGAUUGUAAACUCCUUUUCUGAGGGAAGAGCAAGGACGGUACCUCAGGAAUCAGUCACGGCUAACUACGUGCCAGCAGCCGCGGUAAUACGUAGGUGGCAAGCGUUAUCCGGAAUUACUGGGCGUAAAGCGCACGCAGGCGGCUCUUUAAGUUUGACGUGAAAGCUCCCGGCUUAACUGGGAGAGGUCGUUGAAAACUGGAGGGCUUGAGGCAAGGAGAGGGGUGUAGAAUUCCCGGUGUAGUGGUGGAAUGCGUAGAGAUCGGGAGGAAUACCAGUGGCGAAAGCGGCACCCUAGC